CAAAGAGGGGUAAGUGUCUCUCGUCAUCUCACAGGUGGCUCGCCAUCUUUACACGAUGCACAUGUGAAGCGUUCACAUCAAUACACUCUACGAAUAGGGAGGUCCGUAAUCUAGAUUUCUAGAAUGACAAAACUGGCCGAUUCCCUUGUGUAUUAAUGCUAUUUCUUAUUCCCUUUCAAGUUUCAGCGGAUGACGCAAUGAUGGCCUACUCCGCUGGAUUCCAGCGCGAUGCGACACGGAUCAACAGGAUAAAGGUAAGUUCUUUUGAAAACUACUAAGAAAUUUUGUUUCUCAACAAAAUAACUUACACUGCUUGUUCCUCGCAAGUGUAUUUCCUGAUAAAAUCAAAUAAAUCAAGAGUUCUGCGCAGCUCUUAGCUCACGCUUCUCUUCUCGUGCUCUCUCCAUCGCCUUCGCGCGCUUCGGGGCGGAGUCAGCUUUUCCUAAUUACACUCAAUUGGCUGCUCACCUGCACAGCAGACCAAGAGCUCGGUAUGAAAUAGUUUGACUGCAGUUUUUUUCUUAUUGCCUUAUAUUGUAAAUAAAUCAUAUUUAACAUGAGAUAUUUUAUAUUUCAUCUUUUAUCUGAACAUUUUCUUUACAUGCCUUAUAUUUUUUCUUUAGUCUAACUGCAUUCAUAAACUGACUCAAACUACAAAUGUUUUUGAGCCUGGGUUACACCAUCUUCACAGAAGUGUGUCAGCAUGAUGGCCUUCCCGAAGUUCAGUUCACUUCCCGGGUCUCACUCCAUUUCAGAAGAUUACCAACCUCUGCUUUUCCCCUGGUCUGGGGAACCCUCCAACUUCCCAACAAUCAGCGACUGGAUAAGGUGCAAACAGACCUGGGAAUCUGCACAUGUCCAUUUUCAAUGAACCAUUCAUCAACAGAAGAAUCAGGCAGACAGAUGUCACCACCCACACAUGCCACGACAACCUGGUCAGCUGGUCUGGUUGUCUAAGCAGGACCUGAAAUUGAAACUCUGAUCACAGAAGCUAAGUCCUCAUUUUAUUGGUCCUUUCAAAAUGGUUAAACAAGUCAGUGUAGUAGCAUAUAAGCUAGAGUUACUACCACCUUACUAUAGAAUAACUCCAAAAUUCUGUGUCUACUGCUAAAACAACCAGCUUGUUGACUCCAUGCAGCAGGGAAAUAUACUCUGUCUGGCAGACUGGUAGUGCAAAGUCCCUGAAGAAAGAUCCUGGGUCCCAGAAGGGACAUCCUUGACUCUUCAAUUAUAGAAGAUUUCCACAAAGAACACCCAGACAGCCCUGCUGGUUUGGCUUUGGGACCCACUCAUAAAGGGGGUCCUGUAACUUCACUCAGGGACAUUCGGGGACAUCCCCUGAAUUUUGAACACUCUUCCUCUAUUGUCAAUAUCAUUUCCUGCUUGUAAAGUAUAUAACUCACAUUGAAACGGCCUGGUGCGAAGUCUUGUCAAUUGAUAUUUCGUGUGAGCUCUGAUCCGUGUUAUCUUUGAAUUCUAUUUCGCGUAUGAUCUCUGGUUCUAUUCCUGGUUUUCUUAUGCUUUAGAUUAGCCAGGAUUCUGGUUAAUACCUUGCCUUUGUUGCCUUGCCUGUUUAUUGCAAAUUGUAUUUGCCCCUGGGAUUUGGUUAUUGGACUAUUUUGGAUUUGAUUCUGGAUUUUGACGACUGUACUAAUAAACUGCUUGAACAUAGA